rnacentral:rRNA from 1 species
UCCUACGGGAGGCAGCAGUGGGGAAUAUUGGACAAUGGGGGAAACCCUGAUCCAGCGACGCCGCGUGAGUGAAGAAGUAUUUCGGUAUGUAAAGCUCUAUCAGCAGGGAAGAUAAUGACGGUACCUGACUAAGAAGCCCCGGCUAACUACGUGCCAGCAGCCGCGGUAAUACGUAGGGGGCAAGCGUUAUCCGGAUUUACUGGGUG